AAAGGUUUGAAUAAUUAAAUUCAAACCUAUAGUUUUUUUUAAUAUAAUUUUGGGACUCACAAUCCCAUUUUUAUAUUAUUUUUCUCUCUUCCUCUCACGUUGCUCGGCGUUUUCUCGCAAGGGGGGAUUAUUUUCUUUUUCUUCAGAUUAUAUUGACAAAGAUAGUGGUGAAAAAGGAGUUGUGAAGGGGAACUUGUUAUUCAAGACACAAGGAGCGAGUCCGGCCGAGAAAGCACCAGAGGUGUAACUGUGGUGUAUGAGACACCAUCUUUUACGUUGCCUCUUAUUUUAGAUUAUACAAUGUAUCUUGUGCCAACUUAGG